CCUACGGGAGGCAGCAGUGGGGAAUAUUGGGCAAUGGGCGAAAGCCUGACCCAGCAACGCCGCGUGAAGGAAGAAGGCUUUCGGGUUGUAAACUUCUUUUGACAGGGAAGAGAAGAAGACGGUACCUGUCGAAUAAGCCACGGCUAACUACGGGCCAGAAGCCGCGGUAAUACGUAGGUUGCAAGCGGUGUCCGGAUUUACGGGGGUGAAAGGGGGUGUAGCCGGGGUGAAAAGUCAGAGGGGAAAGCCGGGGGCUCACCCCCCGAACUGCAUUUGAAACUGUUGGUCUUGAGUAUCGGAGAGGCCGGCGGCAUUCCUAGUGUAGCGGUGACAUUCGUAGAUAUUAGGAGGACCACCAGUGGCGACGGCGGCCUGCUGGACGACACCUGACGGUGAGGCGCGAACGCGUGGGGAGCAAACAGGAUUAGAUACCCGGGUAGUC
rnacentral:rRNA from 1 species